UACAGAGGUGGCGAGCGUUGUCCGGAUUUACUGGGCGUAAAGGGUGAAUAGGCGGUUAUAUAUGUCAGGUGUAAAAAGCUAUGGCUUAACCAUAGUAAGCACUUGAAACUGUAUGACUUGAGUGCAGGAGAGGUAAGCGGAAUUCCUAGUGUAGCGGUGAAAUGCGUAGAUAUUAGGAGGAACACCGGUGGCGAAGGGGCUUACUGGACUGUAACUGACGCUGAGUCACGAAAGCGUGGGUAGCAAACAGGAUUAGAUACCCUGGUA
rnacentral:rRNA from 1 species